rnacentral:rRNA from 1 species
CCUACGGGAGGCAGCAGUGGUGGAUAUUGCACAAUGGUGGGAACCCUGAUGCAGCGACGCCGCGUGGGUGAAGAAGCGCCUCGGCGCGUAAAGCCCUGUCAGCAGGGAAGAAAAUGACGGUACCUGAAGAAGAAGCCCCGGCUAACUACGUGCCAGCAGCCGCGGUAAUACGUAGGGGGCAAGCGUUAUCCGGAUUUACUGGGUGUAAAGGGGGCGCAGACGGCGAUGCAAGCCAGGAGUGAAAGCCCGGGGACCAACCCCGGGACUGCUCUUGGAACUGCGUGGCUGGAGUGCAGGAGGGGCAGGCGGAAUUCCUGGUGUAGCGGUGAAAUGCGUAGAUAUCAGGAGGAACACCGGUGGCGAAGGCGGCCUGCUGGACUGCAACUGACGUUGAGGCCCGAAAGCGUGGGGAGCAAACAGGAUUAGAUACCCCAGUAGUC